rnacentral:tRNA from 3 species
GGCUCUAUGGUCAAGCGGUUAAGACUCCGCCCUCUCACGGCGGCAACUCGGGUUCGAAUCCCGAUAGAGUCACCA